rnacentral:rRNA from 1 species
UCCGUAGGUGAACCUGCGGAGGGAUCAUUACCGAGUGCGGGUCCUUUGGGCCCAACCUCCCAUCCGUGUCUAUUGUACCCUGUUGCUUCGGCGGGCCCGCCGCUUGUCGGCCGCCGGGGGGGCGCCUCUGCCUCCCGGGCCCGUGCCCGCCGGAGACCCCAACACGAACACUGUCUGAAAGCGUGCAGUCUGAGUUGAUUGAAUGCAAUCAGUUAAAACUUUCAACAAUGGAUCUCUUGGUUCCGGCAUCGAUGAAGAACGCAGCGAAAUGCGAUAACUAAUGUGAAUUGCAGAAUUCAGUGAAUCAUCGAGUCUUUGAACGCACAUUGCGCCCCCUGGUAUUCCAGGGGGCGUGCCUGUCCGAGCGUCAUUGCUGCCCUCAAGCCCGGCUUGUGUGUUGGGUCGCCGUCCCCCUCUCCGGGGGGACGGGCCCGAAAGGCAGCGGCGGCACCGCGUCCGAUCCUCGAGCGUAUGGGGCUUUGUCACAUGCUCUGUAGGAUUGGCCGGCGCCUGCCGACGUUUUCCAACCAUUCUUUCCAGGUUGACCUCGGAUCAGGUAGGGAUACCCGCUGAGCUUAAGCAUAUCAAUAAGCGGAGGA